CCCUAUUGCCAAUGUCACGCACUAAGCCAUAUCCCUAAGCAACACAUCCAACCUUUCCUUGAACGCCCCCAGGGAGGGUGACUCCACCGCCUCCCUGAGCAACCCGUUCCAGUGCCUGACUACUCCUUCUCACAGAAAUGUCUCUUC